rnacentral:lncRNA from 1 species
GGGCGUGGACAUUAGUCUGUGGGCCUAGCCUCUCAAGCACAUUGGUCCUUGGUUCUAGCCCCAAACGGCUCAGAGUACGGCUCGCGGCUGUCUGCGUCUCAUCUACUCGAUCUCGAUCUCGAUCUCUCCUCUGCCGGUUUGCCCUUGUCUGACCAGCUUGGGACCUCUCGAACUGCUCGCCGACAUGCUGGUGUGCCCUCAUC